rnacentral:rRNA from 1 species
GCUCAGGACGAACGCUGGCGGCGUGCCUAUACAUGCAAGUCGAGCGGACAGAAGGGAGCUUGCUCCCGGAUGUUAGCGGCGGACGGGUGAGUAACACGUGGGUAACCUGCCUGUAAGACUGGGAUAACUCCGGGAAACCGGAGCUAAUACCGGAUAGUUCCUUGAACCGCAUGGUUCAAGGAUGAAAGACGGUUUCGGCUGUCACUUACAGAUGGACCCGCGGCGCAUUAGCUAGUUGGUGGGGUAAUGGCUCACCAAGGCGACGAUGCGUAGCCGACCUGAGAGGGUGAUCGGCCACACUGGGACUGAGACACGGCCCAGACUCCUACGGGAGGCAGCAGUAGGGAAUCUUCCGCAAUGGACGAAAGUCUGACGGAGCAACGCCGCGUGAGUGAUGAAGGUUUUCGGAUCGUAAAGCUCUGUUGUUAGGGAAGAACAAGUGCGAGAGUAACUGCUCGCACCUUGACGGUACCUAACCAGAAAGCCACGGCUAACUACGUGCCAGCAGCCGCGGUAAUACGUAGGUGGCAAGCGUUGUCCGGAAUUAUUGGGCGUAAAGGGCUCGCAGGCGGUUUCUUAAGUCUGAUGUGAAAGCCCCCGGCUCAACCGGGGAGGGUCAUUGGAAACUGGGAAACUUGAGUGCAGAAGAGGAGAGUGGAAUUCCACGUGUAGCGGUGAAAUGCGUAGAGAUGUGGAGGAACACCAGUGGCGAAGGCGACUCUCUGGUCUGUAACUGACGCUGAGGAGCGAAAGCGUGGGGAGCGAACAGGAUUAGAUACCCUGGUAGUCCACGCCGUAAACGAUGAGUGCUAAGUGUUAGGGGGUUUCCGCCCCUUAGUGCUGCAGCUAAC